ensembl:lncRNA
GGGGGGGUUGACAUCGGCUGCUGCAGCCUCUCUCUCUACUAAGAUGAGCAAACAUUGACCUAAUAUACAGUUACUAUGCUGCCUGCAGUUGAGUCUCAAUAACAUGCCAUAACAUUCUAUAUUCCCUCAAUAACUCACUGACAUUCAUUAAAUCUUUCUCAUCUCGAUAUUUUAGGAUAUUCCUCAGUUUAAGAUAUAAUAAAAUACAAAUACAUAGAUGGUCCAUGUUAUAGAGAUUAUUUUUUUGAACUUGAGUGAUCAAGCUGUACAAGAUCCUUUUAUUUGUUCAAUUGUACACAAGGUGCAACAGAACAUUUGACUUUAUCCCAAGACACACACACACAGGUUAGAGCAGGGGACUGCCAUACUACGGCGCCCAUGGAGCAGUUGCUGUGGGGGGAGGGUUAAGGGUCUUGCUCAAGGGUACAACGGCAGGUUAUGCCAUCUAGGAUUUGACACCAGCAGCAACCCUCUGGUUACCAGCUCACUUCCCUUCAGAUUUUUCCCGUCAGACCCGGGAUUCAAACUAGCAACCCUCCGGUUGCUGGCUCGCCUCUGACUGCUAGGCUACCUGCCGCCCAUUUACUUUGCAUUGGGGGAUUGUCAUAUGGUUCAACGUAAAAACGUGUCGUUAAAGUAAGUAAAAUACAAAUAAGUAUGCCAAGACAUCACAUUCUUGGCGUCUAUCUCUACGCUUAGAAUAAUAAUCUCAAAGUAUAAACAUAUAAUAAAACAGCCCAUCACUCUAAACUUCCAACAGGUAUGUUUAAUGUGAUCGGAAGCUUAAUUUAUCUAAUCCAACCUGCUCAGGAGUCAAAUGUCUUAAUUUAUCUAAUCCAACCUGCUCAGGAGUCAAAUAGUGCAAAAGAAACUGCUGUUUAUUUUAGAAAAUGAAAUUUGCAGCUAACCAUUAGUGAUCUUGCAGCGAGCGUUUGACUCAUCACAGACCGACCAGUCCAUCACUGACCGCAAUGGUGGAUACUUAAUAAUAACAAUACCAUAUGUCCUGGUUGGCACUUUAUACCCUACGUUUUGAAUUGUAACCCAAAUCAAGUAUAUUAUUUAAACGCAACACCUCAGAUAAUGACACAUUUCCCCACUAAAUAAACAUUUAUAGAUAUACUUUGUCUAUAAAAAAAACACAGACCAGAACGAAAAUAAAUAUUUAAAAAAAAUAACAUUACAAAAAAAAAUUGACAAAAUAUAAUCAAGCCAACCUUUCCCCUCCCUCCCUCAAACUGGGAUGCUCUUACAAACAAAAAUAGCUGUCCUUCAGGUUAUCGAGAGGAUCAGAGUUCAAUAACACAACUAAAUUGGCUUCGCGAAGCUUGUGGCUUGUUUAGGUGGAAAAGAAGUGGCUUCACGGGGAGAGAGAAUACUUCCAUUGAUACACGAAGUGUUUGCCAGACGUCUUGAGCAGAUCUUCAGAGACCGAUGGAGAAGAAAGCAGAGGGGAGGGAGAGGAGCGGAGGGACAUGCUCACACGUCUACCACCAUCUUUUUGUGUAUGUCAAGGCCACCCACCACCUAGGGGAAGAGAGAAGGAACAGAACCAAAUAGUUCUUAUUGUAGUUCUAAUUCCAAUUCUAGAGUAAAAGCAGGCGGGAACAGAUUGAUUCUUAACGAUAUUCAAAAUCACGCAACAUGAUUCCAACUAAGAGAGGCAACUUAACACUAGUAUAACUACAGUAUCCUGUUAACACUAGUAUAACUACAGUAUCCUGUUAACACUAGUAUAACUACAGUAUCCUGUUAAUACUAGUAUAACUACAGUAUCCUGUUAACACUAGUAUAACUACAGUAUCCUGUUAAUACUAGUAUAACUACAGUAUCCUGUUAAUACUAGUAUAACUACAGUAUCCUGUUAAUACUAGUAUAACUACAGUAUCCUGUUAACACUAGUAUAACUAGUAUAACUACAGUAUCCUGUUAAUACUAGUAUAACUAGUAUAACUACAGUAUCCUGUUAACCCCUUGUAUUUUCUGUAAUACUGUCACACAAUCCCGUCACGACAACCUUGGUCUGCUCCAGCACAAACCAACUAUAACCACGGUCCAACAGUUGUCCUGAAGAUAAUACUCCCACAAGAACAGUGUUUCAGUUCAAGACUCUAGAGCAGUGUUUUCCAACCUGUGUUCAGCCAAUUAUUUUUGAUAAAUUUAAUUAAAUACAAAUUUAUUUUUUUCUUCCAAAGAAAAUAACAGUUGGGAGUAUUAAUUGUAUUAUAAGCAAUUUGACAUUACUUUUCAAAAUUCCAAUAGUUUAUAAUAAUAAUAAUAGGACUAAUUUGUUACAUUUACUGCCAAUGGUGGUCCUCGAGAGUUGUUGACGGUGAUUUGGUGCUCCCCGGAACGGAAAAGUUUGGGAACCGUUGCCUUAGAAAAAUAUGUGCCAAAUAUAGCUUAUUCAGAAGAGUGAAACAGAAUACAGAACUUUCUUAGUGAAAUGGGGCUGGAAUCAUGCUCUUUACAUAACAUUACCCUCCACUGAAUGAGCCAUCUGGUGUGUUAGAGCUGGGUAGGAGAAGCCAUCAACCAGAAUUGGAGUUACCCCCCAAUAGGGUUGCACAAUUCUGGAAAAUGUCCUCUGCG